UGAUAGCCAGCGGCAAGCGCCUCCG
rnacentral:sRNA from 1 species